CCUACGGGUGGCAGCAGUGGGGAAUAUUGCACAAUGGGGGAAAGCCUGAUGCAGCGACGCCGCGUGAGUGAAGAAGUCUCUAGGUAUGUAAAGCUCUAUCAGCAGGGAAGAAAAUGACGGUACGUGACUGAGAAGCGACGGCAAACUACGUGCCAGCAGCCGCGGGAAUACGGAGGGGUGACGCGUUAUCCGGAAUGACUGGGUGUAAAGGGGGCGUAGACGGCGCUGCAAGGUCGUAGUGAAAGCCCAGGGCUUAACCAUGGUACUGCUCUUGAAACUGUAGAGCUUGAGUGCGAGAGAGGCAUGCGGAAUUCCUGGUGUAGCGGUGAAAUGCGUAGAUAUCAGGAGGAACACCGGCUGCGAAGGCGGCAUGCUGGAUCGAAACUGACGCUGAGGCGCGAAAGCGUGGGGAGCAAACAGGAUUAGAUACCCCAGUAGUC
rnacentral:rRNA from 1 species